UACGUAGGGUGCAAGCGUUAAUCGGAAUUACUGGGCGUAAAGCGCACGUAGGCGGACUCUUAAGUCGGUGGUGAAAUCCCGGAGCUCAACUCCGGAACUGCCUUUGAUACUGGUCGUCUAGAGAUCGGAAGAGGGUCGUGGAAUUCCCAGUGUAGAGGUGAAAUUCGUAGAUAUUGGGAAGAACACCGGUGGCGAAGGCGGCGACCUGGUCCGAUACUGACGCUGAGGCGCGAAAGCGUGGGGAGCAAACAGG
rnacentral:rRNA from 1 species